rnacentral:rRNA from 1 species
CAGUCGUACCUUCGGGUAAUCAGCCUUUCGGGUGCGAUUCUGUGGAGUUUGAGGAGCUUAACACCUUCAUGCUUUGCAUAUUCGUGCUCUUGGGUGUACUUGCCCGUGUGGUAGGUUAACAUCAAUUUUGGUCGUCAUAAAAUGAUCGGAGGAAUGUAGCUUCGAUCUCGUAUUGAAGUGUUAUAGCCUUCGGUAGAUGUGAUGGAUCGAGAUUGAGG